rnacentral:rRNA from 1 species
CAUUCACGGAGAGUUUGAUCCUGGCUCAGGACGAACGCUGGCGGCGUGCUUAACACAUGCAAGUCGAACGAUGAACCACCUUCGGGUGGGGAUUAGUGGCGAACGGGUGAGUAACACGUGGGCAAUCUGCCCUGCACUCUGGGACAAGCCCUGGAAACGGGGUCUAAUACCGGAUACUGACCUGCCGAGGCAUCUCGGCGGGUCGAAAGCUCCGGCGGUGCAGGAUGAGCCCGCGGCCUAUCAGCUUGUUGGUGAGGUAAUGGCUCACCAAGGCGACGACGGGUAGCCGGCCUGAGAGGGCGACCGGCCACACUGGGACUGAGACACGGC